rnacentral:rRNA from 1 species
UCGCUCCUACCGAUUGAGUGAUCCGGUGAAUAAUUCGGACUGCAGCAAUGUUCAGCUCCUGAAUGUUGCAGUGGAAAGUUUAGUGAACCUUAUCACUUAGAGGAAGGAG